GAUCGGCUCAGGAUGAACGCUAGCUACAGGCUUAACACAUGCAAGUCGAGGGGAAACGAUAUUGGAAGCUUGCUUCCGAUAGGCGUCGACCGGCGCACGGGUGAGUAACGCGUAUCCAACCUGCCCACCACUUGGGGAUAACCUUGCGAAAGUAAGACUAAUACCCAAUGAUAUCUCUAGAAGACAUCUGAAAGAGAUUAAAGAUUUAUCGGUGAUGGAUGGGGAUGCGUCUGAUUAG
rnacentral:rRNA from 1 species